GCGUGACUCUGGAAAUGCCAGAAAUGGAUUCUACAGGUCAAAGUGCACCCAUACGUGUGAGUUUGACGUCAUCCCGGCUAAAGGGAGCUCCUUAUUGGCCAAGUAUUACGUAACACAAGUGCGUGUGAGCAUAGUUAAUAUAAUGAGAGGGUUUGGAAGGCCGGCAAACUUCAAAGGAUAACGCCCCCUUUCGUGAGCUGAACUCGAUAGAGGGCAUCACGUGACAGUUAUAGUGCAUCAUGGCGUGAUUCUAUAAUACAAUUCCCUAUUGACAACUUAGAAAUCUUUAAUUUUCGCUCGUUAUACGAGGUUUGGGUGGAAUACGAGGUUUUAUCGCAAAUCUCCAUCGUAAGUGGCAACUUUUGAGACGUUUUUAUGUGUGAUAACCCAAAUUGCUGACGCUGUGUAUAGUAUCAAUUUCAAUUGAAGCGAAGUCAUACUGCUAAAGCCGUUCGAAAUGGUCGUUGAAAACGCACGUUUAAGGUUUGGAAUCAUGGAAAUAGAUGAGGAAAUUGAUACUGAGCGUUUAGAAAGCUCUUGUUCACCUUUGAGGACGAUUUAGAGUAAACAACUGCGCUUCUCGAGAUGGACGUGGAUGAAGUUCAGAUUGAAGUUCAACAGGCGCUUGAAGAGGUAUGAAAUAUAAAAUUUAGACGAUGAUUUUUAUACAUAUAUUACUGUAAACAUAGAUAUUUACCUAAUGAAUAUUUUCCCUUUCAAUACAUCGUCUCUAGAUUGAAGGAAAGAAACAGUUUCCUUGCAGAUUUGCAGUUUCUGUGAGAAAGUUUGCAAAUCCAAAGGUGGCCUGACAAGACACCGCGACGCAGUAUGAAACAUGUUGCAGAAUUCGGUGAGGGAUCUUCUACAUUUCAAACAGUGAUAUUAGUAGAAAAAGUUGCCGAAUUAAUACGUGAUAUCGGUCCACACUUGGUUCAGUUGGUUGACGAAAAACUGUAUAACGUAUGCCCUACUUUAGUAUUUACUCUGUUUAACGCCAGGCGAUUUUACCUGUCAAGGGAAGCAUCUAAGAUAAUAUUUCUGUGCCACCAAAGGGCAGUCUCACUCUCAGAGCCAACCAAAUGUAAUUAGAAUAAUUAAUCAUAGAUUCUUGUUUGAAUUUUAGGAAGAAUUGUCUUUGUCACCUCAGGAGCUUGGACCAUUAUCAUAUUUGACUGGAUAUGUGAUAAGAUCUUUAUACCAGAGAAGCAAGAACUGUUAUAGGAGCAAUUCUUCCUGGAACAAAGAAGUCCAAGCCUCGAUGUCAUCAAUGCGACAGGACACAGAGGCCAAUAAAUACAUUUCAUCCUUGUUGAGGGGUGGACUUUGGUCACCACACUCAUGGAUUGUAAGCAUUGCAAGGUGUCAGAGUUAAUAUUUAAAACACACAUCAAAUAAAGACAAGGUUACUGUCUACCAGUAGACACAAUUGUGAAUGAAGUCCUAACUUCUCCUCUUGUGACAAACUUGUGGUGCAACAUUAUUCAAAACUGUGAUGUAGAAACUUCCAUGGAAUGUCAAUCUUUAUGUUUAGAGAAUGUUCAGUCAAAUUAUAUGUAACUGUAAGAUGUUUUCCUUUGCUAAGGAUAUUGUAAAUAAAUAUAAGAUAAGUCAGGGUACACAGAAAAAGAAAGCUUUAUGAAAAGACUUGAAGACAGGCACAGAUUUUCCGGGGGUGGGAACCCCCCCCCCCAGAAAUGAUUUGCACCCUCCAGAGGCAUUUGGCACCGCCCCCAAAAGUCUUGGCACUCCCGCAAAUUAUAUAUAUUUUGAUUUGAUAGUUUCAUAUUUGAUUAUUCUUACUAAAUUUGUAAAAUUACCAAUAUUAUGGUCUCAGAUGAUCAGAUCUCACCAUGCAGGCCUAGAAAACAAAUUGUGUUAAACUUUUUCCUUGGCCUUUCCGGGUGUUGCCACCAGGCCCCGGCCUUUCAAAGCAAACAGCACCCCCCCCCCCCAGAUAUUUAUCCACACACCCCGAACGAAAAUAUGAAAAUCCGUCUCUGCUUGAAGAUUGCCAGUGAAGAAAAGAAAUAGUCAGGUACAUAAUACAAUAACGUUAUAUCAAUGAUAUUAAAUGUAAAUAUGAUACUGUAUCAAUGAAUUAUCCUCAUAUUUUUAUGUGUAAUCUUUUCAUCAACACAUAGUAAUAACAACAAUAUAUAAAUAUAUACACACAGCUUAAACUACUUUCUCUCAAUUAUGUAAUGUUCAGCCAAAUUUAGUCAUGCAGUUUAAAUAAGCUAAUUGGAGAUAAUAGGCUAACAUAUCUCAAUGUGCUCUUUUAUUCUUUUACUCUGUCAGUGUCUAUCAUCAGACAAUUUUACACAUCAAGGGCAGUGCAUAUUAAGCAUUGCAGCUUAAAGAGUUAAAAUCAUAUGGCAUCAGACAAAUGUUAAAACGAUAAAGUAGGAGCAUUGUGGCUUAAUUAAACAUACAUUGUGUAGUGUAUGAUUUGAGCAUAAUACAAAUUACAUUGCACUUCUAGCUUGGCUGUGGAAUUAAUAACACUAUUGCAGCAAUUUUUGCUCCACCUACUUUUGAUAAAUGACAAAUUUUCAGAAAAUAAAUAGAUACAUACACAGUAAGAACACUCAUGUCAUUCUUAAGUUAACUAAUUGGCAAAUUCCUAUUUAUCAGAAGAAAAUUAACAAUAAAAUCAGCCAAUCUCGUACCACACAACGAUGGGCUCCGGGGACAGCAUAAACAAAGUGUAAAAAGCCUGAGACUUACACUGUAAAGUCUUAUUAUUAAACUAUAAAGUCUUAAGAAUAAUGUCUAAAUAAGUACAUUUCAUAUUCCUCUUUCUUGAAGUGCUUCUCGCAAACAUACAACGUCCCAUUUUUGAUUUGCCUUCGCAAAUUUUCAUCCACUACGCGGUCCUUUGUAAUUAUGUUGCUCCACGCUUCACGAGUUUUCGUUGAUAAUGCGUCUUUUCCUGAAGGGAUCCGAAAAAUUCCAACUCCAGCACUAUUUCGACAUGUACCACAGCCGAUAUGGAGCAAUUCGCUCCCGGCAUCGCGGAAAAUUCAAUGAAAUUUAAUGUUUUUAGGCUCUGUUUGGCUUAAAC